rnacentral:rRNA from 1 species
CGGACGGGUGAGUAAUGUCUGGGAAACUGACUGAUGGAGGGGGAUAACUACUGGAAACGGUAGCUAAUACCGCAUAACGUCGCAAGACCAAAGAGGGGGACCUUCGGGCCUCUUGCCAUCGGAUGUGCCCAGAUGGGAUUAGCUAGUAGGUGGGGUAACGGCUCACCUAGGCGACGAUCCCUAGCUGGUCUGAGAGGAUGACCAGCCACACUGGAACUGAGACACGGUCCAG